rnacentral:rRNA from 1 species
UACGAAGGGGGCUAGCGUUGCUCGGAAUUACUGGGCGUAAAGGGCGCGUAGGCGGCACUGUUAGUCAGGCGUGAAAGUCCUGGGCUCAACCUGGGAACUGCGCUUGAUACGGCAGAGCUAGAGGAUGGAAGAGGGUCGCGGAAUUCCCAGUGUAGAGGUGAAAUUCGUAGAUAUUGGGAAGAACACCGGUGGCGAAGGCGGCGACCUGGUCCAUUACUGACGCUGAGGCGCGAGAGCGUGGGGAGCAAACCGG